rnacentral:rRNA from 1 species
UACGGGGGGGGCAAGCGUUGUUCGGAAUUACUGGGCGUAAAGGGCUCGUAGGCGGCCAACUAAGUCAGACGUGAAAUCCCUCGGCUUAACCGGGGAACUGCGUCUGAUACUGGAUGGCUUGAGUUCGGGAGAGGGAUGCGGAAUUCCAGGUGUAGCGGUGAAAUGCAUAGAUAUCUGGAGGAACACCGGUGGCGAAGGCGGCAUCCUGGACCGAAACUGACGCUGAGGAGCGAAAGCCAGGGGAGCAAACGGG